UACAGGGGGGGCAAGCGUUGUUCGGAAUUACUGGGCGUAAAGGGUCUGUAGGUGGCCAACUAAGUCAGACGUGAAAUCCCUCAGCUUAACUGGGGAACUGCGUCUGAUACUGGAUGGCUUGAGUGUGGGAGAGGAAUGCGGAAUUCCAGGUGUAGCGGUGAAAUGCGUAGAGAUCGGAAAGAACACCAACGGCGAAAGCACUCUGCUGGGCCGACACUGACACUGAGAGACGAAAGCUAGGGGAGCGAAUGGG
rnacentral:rRNA from 1 species